CAGCCGCCGCGGGAAGACAGAGGAUGCAAGCGUUAUCCGGAAUGAUUGGGCGUAAAGCGUCUGUAGGUGGCUUUUCAAGUCCGCCGUCAAAUCCCAGGGCUCAACCCUGGACAGGCGGUGGAAACUACCAAGCUGGAGUACGGUAGGGGCAGAGGGAAUUUCCAGUGGAGCGGUGAAAUGCGUUGAGAUCGAAAAGAACACCAAUAGCGAAAGCACUCUGCUGGGACGACACUGACACUAAGAGACGAAAGCUAGGGGAGCAAAUGGGAUUAGAGACCCCUGUAGUCCCUGUCUCUUAUAC
rnacentral:rRNA from 1 species